GGCCUCGUGGUCUAGUGGUAUGAUUCUCGCUUCGGGUGCGAGAGGUCCCGGGUUGAUUCCCGGUGAGGCCC
rnacentral:tRNA from 1 species